rnacentral:rRNA from 1 species
UACGUAGGGGGCAAGCGUUGUCCGGAAUUAUUGGGCGUAAAGAGCGUGUAGGCGGUCCGGUAAGUCAGCUGUGAAAGUCAAGGGCUCAACCCUGGAAAGCCGGUGGAUACUGUCGGGCUAGAGUCCGGAAGAGGCGAGUGGAAUUCCUGGUGUAGCGGUGGAAUGCGCAGAUAUCAGGAGGAACACCGAUGGCGAAGGCAGCUCGCUGGGACGGUACUGACGCUGAGGCGCGAAAGCGUGGGGAGCGAACAGG